rfam:Eurypyga helias contig35715, whole genome shotgun sequence.
GUGGCUGUCUUCGCUGUUGGCCGCGUUCGCUAGAAAUGGAACGCGGCCGCAAGCAGCCACAAACAGCAAAGCAAAUGGUUCCUGCCGACAGUGUCUGUAGAGUUGUCGGAUUUUGCUGUGCGAUGGUUCCAUACAUG